rnacentral:rRNA from 1 species
UACGGAGGGUGCAAGCGUUAAUCGGAAUUACUGGGCGUAAAGCGCGCGCAGGCGGUGAUUUAAGCCAGAUGUGAAAGCCCCGAGCUUAACUUGGGAAUUGCAUUUGAAACUGGAUGGCUAGAGUAUGGUAGAGGUAGGUGGAAUUCCAUGUGUAGCGGUGAAAUGCGUAGAGAUGUGGAGGAACACCAGUGGCGAAGGCGGCUUUCUGG